UUUUCCGAUAGAGGCGCGGCAGACCAAGAGUAAGUAUGUAGAGCUGGCAGCGAUGACGAUACUGAAAGGGGCUGACCGCCGAAGUGAAAGUUUUGGCCCGGAAACUUUUGCUGGUUUUGCAUUUAAAAGAUGCAAGACUGUCACUUGAAUUGUUUCAGGUGGAGCGCUAUCUUGCAC
rnacentral:ncRNA from 1 species